rnacentral:lncRNA from 1 species
UGAGCACCAAGUGAGAAGGCACGGCUAACUCAGGGGGCUCAGGUGCAAGCAGUGCACCUCAGUGACCAUAAGGGGUGGAGCCAGGGUCCUCCCCUUCUCACCCUCAUUUAAGGGUUAGCAGCCAGGGGAGCAGCAUCUCUCUGAAGAGAGGUUGUACUCCUUUGAGCCAUUACUGGCUGUUGGAAGGAGUGAGCUAGUUUUAGUUUAUUUUCUUCUAUUGCUCCAUAGUGCUUGUAUCCUAGUUGGAGGCACUGCUAUCACCUUCUUUUUCUGCCUAGGUACCGAAGAAAAAGAGGGUGACAUUCCUAGCUAUCAGCUGUCCUGUUUUCUUUCAUUGUGGCAGGUUUCUGAGGUUUCUGCUGCACCGAUCACUCUCUUGGGAACGGAAAGGCCCCAAGCUGUUUCAGUGCUCACUGGAACUCCAAAGGGUUUGCAUUAUAAUCACAUGGCAAGAAGGCCUUUCAAUUGGUGCAGUUGCCAGGAAGCUCGCAGUGAACAAUAGGACACAUGGCCAGCUGGGAUUUACUAGACACUUCCAAAACAUCGUUAUUUCCAGUUCGAAAUGCUAUCCACUGUGAAGUCAAAUCCCUGCAGUGAGACUGCUGAGACUUUGCACUUUGCCAGAGUAAAGGCGCUGCCCUGAUCGCAUGUAGUCCAACUGGAGCCAUGUCUGGGAGAGGAAACCAAGCGGAGACAGGGCGGGCUGGAAACUCUGUCCCUGGUCGUUGUGUUCACGGCUGCUAUAAAAAGACUUGAGUCAAUUAUGAAUUUUGUCAGAACAUUAUCAUAGAGAUAGAAGGAGAAGGUCACUUUGAAAAUAGCUCCUAUUUAUUUGUCUGUCGUUGCUCAUAAGAAAUUAUGCACAUGCACCAGAUGCUAGAUUGACUGUGCCCUUUGUUCAUAACAUAGGCAAUUAAAACAAAAAGAAGAAUGCCCGAGUGGUAUAGUUUUAAUAAUCCUGAAGAUUAGCUACUAAUCCCAAACCAGAAUGAAUUUUCCAACAGCAUGACUUGUAGAUCUCUGUCACUAUAAAUCUUGCCUAGUGAACUCCAUUACCCCAAAGAACAUCCAUGGACUGCAGAAAAAAACCAAGAUCAGCGAUAGAAAAAGAUAAAACAUUGUCUGGAAGGUGUUGUAUUGGCAACUUGUAAAUAUCAGCACACUACACUCAGCUCUACUUCUACUCAUACUGGCAAGGUAAAUAGCUUUGAGAAGGUAAACAUCCAACCAUCGUUGUUUCUAUUUACUUCACUUUCUGUUAGAAUCAUAGAAUCCUUAGAGUUGGAAGGGACCUUUAAAGGUCAUCUAGUCCAACUUCCCUGCAAUGAACAGGGACACCACAGCUAGAUCAGGUUGCCCACGGCCUGAUCCAGCCUCACCUUGAAAGUCUUCAGGGACGGGGCAUCAACCACAUCACUGGGCAAUCUGUUCCAGUGCCUUACUGCCCUUACUGUAAAAGACUUUUUCCUUAUAUCAAGCCUCAAACUACUCUCUUUAAAUUU